rnacentral:rRNA from 1 species
AGAGUUUGAUCCUGGCUCAGCCUGAACGCUGGCGGCGUGGCUAAGACAUGCAAGUCGUACGGAUGUAGCAAUACAUCAGUGGCGGACGGGUGAGUAAUGAAUCGCUAAUGUACCCCAGAGUCUGGGAUAGCUGCCCGAAAGGGCAGGUAAUACCAGAUGAUAUAUUCGGUUGGCAUCAACUGAAUCUCAAAGGAGCAAUACGCUCUGGGAGCAGGCGAUUUCGUAUCAGCUUGUUGGUGAGGUAACGGCUCACCAAGGCGACGACGCGUAGCUGGUCUGAGAGGACGGCCAGCCACAUUGGGACUGAGACACUGCCCAGACUCCUACGGGGGGCUGCAGUAACGAAUCUUCCGCAAUGCACGCAAGUGUGACGGAGCGACGCCGCGUGUGGGACGAAGUCCUUCGGGAUGUAAACCACUGUCAGGGGUUAGAAAGUUCUGAUCAACCCCAGAGGAAGAGACGGCUAACUCUGUGCCAGCAGCCGCGGUAAUUC